AUUAAGAUCUUUAAUUUAGAUUUUCUAAUACCAUUAGGAAGUUCAGAUUUAUAUUAUAUAGGAAAUUUAAUUUGGAGGUGGUAUUUUAGAUAUUUAGGAAUUUUACUGUUUAGAAUUUCUUAGCUAGUGUUGGUUUUAUAUUCUUAGUUUGAUCUAGUAUUUUCUUAUUUUGGAAUUCGUAGUCAUACUUCUAGUAGGACCAGUUAACAUUACUAUAAAUAACUAUGUCCUUUAGGUGUUUUGGUAUAUUUUUUAUUAUUGACAAUUGGAUUUUGAGAAUUAAUAAAAAAUUUGAGAUUUGUUUCUUUUCCUCUUUAGUUUUCUUUGUGGUUCUACACCAAUUUGAUAUCAAAGCCACUUUGAUUUGUUUGCCUGUGAUGUGAACAAUUAGCCAGAGAACCUAAUCUGAGUUUUUUGCUUCUUUCGCGUCCCUCGCUACUGUUCUUUCUCGCUGUUUGAAAAAAAGCAAGCUGCUGUCAUUGCAAAUCCACUGCCAUCACUUUUUUCUCGUUUCUAAGCCCUUGCCUGAUGGUCUCUCUCACAAACCUCUUUCUUGCGACAUCUUUCUCACAAAACAGAGUUUUGCCGUUGUCAUCCCUAAGCUUAUAAGCUACCACUUUCUUCUCAUCAAACCAUCACGCGGCCACUACCAAACCAUAGCCCAAUGCCAAGCGACUCUUCUGGCGUAAAUCAUUUGUUUCUCACAAAAACUCUCUAGUUACAAGUUGUGCACCACCAUACACAACUCUUUCUCGGUAAACUAAGUUUGCUUCUAGACUUUUCAUGUUUCAGUAAUAGCUGGUCUCCUCAGACACUUGCUAUUAUCUAUUUAAUUUGCUGAUUCAAACUGUAGUUGCAACUCUCCAUGAAAAUCAAAAUGUCUAUGCUCCAUAUCCUUUGUUGGAUAAAAGGCGCUUCUACUUUAUCCAAAUUUCCUUAUGUGGUGCAUGGGGGUUGUCAUUGUAGUAGCUAAGCAUUAUUAUUUUUUUCAUUCAUUAUUAUUAAUCAAGUUAUGUUAGUGUGUUGAGCACAAGCAUACAGGGACUUAUUUACACUUUGGCCAAGGGGGUCAUCGGCCCCCCUGGAAUUUUUAGAAAUCAGGGAUAUGUUGGUCAUUUUUACUCAAAACCUUUAAAAAAUGGGAAAAUCUGAGUAGUAGCCUACUAACCCAACAAUUUCAACCACUUUCUUUCACCCCUUUAGAAUUUUCGUAUUUUACAACUGCAAUAUCCCCUAAUUUGUUUGGUGAAUUAACAAGAAAUGAUUAAUUUUAGUGCCCUAUUGUUAUGAAAGAAAAUGGAAGAAAGGAAAUAUGUAGGAAAAUGGAAUUGAAAGCUCAAACAACUUUCAUUAAGGGAGUGUUUGAUUCAACUGUUUGAUAUAGCCGAUAACUAAUAGACAUUCAAACAGUUUAACUUAGGUGUUUGGUAAAUCUUUAAAAUAUUAGCUGAUAGCUUAUAGGAUAUCAAACUACAUCAGCUUGUAUUAGCUCUAAAAUUAGAGUUAUUUCAAAACCACUAUAUAUUUAUGUAAUUAUUUGACAAAAAUAACCCUCUUUAUUUUACAUUUAUUAAUAAGGCUGAGCAUUUAGUUAAAACCGAACCGAAUCGAAUCAUAUCAUCAAAACCAAAUUAAUCAAAUUAUUAUAUUUUAGAAACCAAA
rnacentral:misc_RNA from 1 species